AUGUCAAAAAAACUAUCAGCACUCGAAGAGUCAGUUGAGAAAAAACCGAAGUCACUUUUGGGAAAAGUUCUAAUGAAGAGAAAAAAUCCUAAAAGCGCUGGAAAAGGAACGGUGAAAGAUCCCCUGUCCACUCUUCAGAACACAAGACAAAAAAGAACUCUGAAGGAGAAUUUAAAAGCUUUUGCUAAAAAGUUAAAGUUUACAAAGUCCGGACAUCAAGAUAUAGCAAAAAUCCUUGAAGAGGAAAGUGAUGGUACGCUAAGUGCUGGCCAGUCCCAGAAAGCGUCCGAUUCAGAUACAUCUAGCAAACAGUCAACUCGAUCAAAACAAAAAGAUGACACGGUCCCAGUCUCGAAAUCUAGGAAAAUGUCUCUGUCACUAUCUGCUGGGACUUCAGGUGCACCCUCUAUGUUGGAGCAGACCUCAUCGGAAAAGAAAACUUCUGGUGUCACCCUUGCACAAUUUGAGUCAGGAAGCAAUUCGUCAAGCAGCGGCUCUGUCAAGAAUAAGAGAACGGAAGAUGAUGCGGAAAGUGUCUCCGUUGCGGCCUUGUCAUCAUCAUCUCAAAGUGUGUCUUCUACAUCCGAGUCUGCCAAGAAAAAAAUUGGAAAGAAGAAGAAAGAAGAAGAAAAAACAGGGACCACCAGUGCCAAAGAUGACCUCAAAGUAGCACCAGCUUUUAAAACUGUGUCGAUUGGGGAUAAGUUGAAAGUCUACUACGGACCCUCCACCCAAGAUUCGAAGAAAGUCACGUACGAAGCAAAAGUGUUGAAUAUAAAGAAAACCGCAAUGCUUCUCCAGAUGAGCCAUCAAAAUUAUAUUGGUACAUUAUACUGGUUGGAAUACGCGUUACGAUGA
rnacentral:lncRNA from 1 species